rnacentral:rRNA from 1 species
CUCCUGCGUGGUGUGCUCUCAAGGCAGAACUUCUCCCCCAUCUCUGCCGAUAGCACUGCAGCUCCUGAGAUGCCCAUCUCCAGAUUGAAUAAGAAGGCAGCGUGGGAAUUUGGCGAUGUAUCAACCUGAUCCCAGCCAUGAGUGUGAGUGAGCAGGCAUUACUGUGUACAGUCCUUUACCGGGAGAUAUGACAUUACAGGUAGAUAGCACCGCCUAACUCCGUGACCAGCAGUCGCCGUAUUACGAGGGAGCUAGCGUACUCCGGAAUUACUGGCAGUAAAGCGCACGUAGGCGGCUUUGUAAGUUAGAGGUGAAAGCCUGCACCUCAACUCCAGAGUUGCCUUUAAGACUUGCAUCGCUUGAAUCCAGGAGAGGUGAGUGGAAUUCCGAGUGUAGAGGCGAAGUUUGGUAGAUAUUCGGAAGAACACCAGUGGCGAAGGCGGCUCACUGGACUGGUAUUGACGCUGAGGUGCGAAAGCGUGGGGAACAAACAGGAUUAGAUACCCUGGUAGUACACGCCGUAAACGAUGAUAACUAGCUGUCCGGGGACUUGGUCUUUGGGUGGCGCAGCUAACGCAUUAAGUUAUCCGCCUGGGGAGUACGGCCGCAAGGUUAAAACUCAAAUGAAUUGACGGGGGCCUGCACAAGCGGUGGAGCAUGUGGUUUAAUUCGAAGCAACGCGCAGAACCUUACCAGCGUUUGACAUGGCAGGACGACUUCUGGAGACAGAUUUCUUCCCUUCGGGGACCUGCACACAGGUGCUGCAUGGCUGUCGUCAGCUCGUGUCGUGAGAUGUUGGGUUAAGUCCCGCAACGAGCGCAACCCUCGCCUUUAGUUACCAUCAUUCAGUUGGGUACUCUAAAGGAACCGCCGGUGAUAAGCCGGAGGAAGGUGGGGAUGACGUCAAGUCCUCAUGGCCCUUACGCGCUGGGCUACACACGUGCUACAAUGGCAAGUACAGUGGGCAGCAAUCCCGCGAGGGUGAGCUAAUCUCCAAAACUUGUCUCAGUUCGGAUUGCACUCUGCAACUCGAGUGCAUGAAGGCGGAAUCGCUAGUAAUCGCGGAUCAGCAUGCCGCGGUGAAUACGUUCCCAGGCCUUGUACACACCGCCCGUCACACCAUGGGAGUUGGAUUCACCCGAAGGCGUUGCGCUAACUCAGCAAUGAGAGGCAGGCGACCACGGUGUAGCAACGG